rnacentral:rRNA from 1 species
CGAAGGGGGCUAGCGUUGCUCGGAAUUACUGGGCGUAAAGGGAGCGUAGGCGGAUAGUUUAGUCAGAGGUGAAAGCCCAGGGCUCAACCCUGGAAUUGCCUUUGAUACUGGCUAUCUUGAGUACGGGAGAGGUGUGUGGAACUCCGAGUGUAGAGGUGAAAUUCGUAGAUAUUCGGAAGAACACCAGUGGCGAAGGCGACACACUGGCCCGUUACUGACGCUGAGGCUCGAAAGCGUGGGGAGCAAACAGGAUUAGAUACCCUGGUAGUCCACGCCGUAAACGAUGAGUGCUAGUUGUCGGCAUGCAUGCAUGUCGGUGACGCAGCUAACGCAUUAAGCACUCCGCCGUGGGGAGUACGGUCGCAAGAUUA